GACUUCAUGGUGUAUUUGGUAAUCACAUCUGUCUAACACACGGUCGCCAGUUCGAACCUGGCUGAAGUUA